UACACGACCGUACCGCAAACCGACACUGGUGCGCGAGAUGAGUAUUCUAAGGCGCUUGAGAGAACUCAGGAGAAGGAACUCGGCAAAUUGACACCGUAACUUCGGAAGAAGGUGUGCCUUUAGUAGGUGAGCCAUUUACUUGGGGAGCCCAAUGAGGCUGCAAAAAAUCGGUGGCUGCAACUGUUUAUUAAAAACACAGCACUCUGCUAAGACGAAAGUCGACGUAUAGGGUGUGACGCCUGCCCGGUGCUGGAAGAUUAAAUGAUGGGGAGCAAGCUCUUGAUUGAAGUCCCAGUAAACGGCGGCCGUAACAAUAACGGUCCUAAGGUAGCGAAAUUCCUUGUCGGGUAAGUUCCGACCUGCACGAAUGGCGUAAUGAUGGCCACACUGUCUCCUCCUGAGACUCAGCGAAGUUGAAAUGUUUGUGAUGAUGCAAUCUCCCCGCGGAAAGACGGAAAGACCCCAUGAACCUUUACUGUAGCUUUGUAUUGGACUUUGAACAGAUCUGUGUAGGAUAGGUGGUAGGCUUUGAAGUGUGGUCGCUAGAUCGCAUGGAGCCAACGUUGAAAUACCACCCUGGUGUGUUUGAGGUUCUAACCUAGGUCCAUUAUCUGGAUCGGGGACAGUGCAUGGUAGGCAGUUUGACUGGGGCGGUCUCCUCCCAAAGUGUAACGGAGGAGUUCGAAGGUACGCUAGGUACGGUCGGACAUCGUGCUAAUAGUGCAAUGGCAUAAGCGUGCUUAACUGCGAGACUGACAAGUCGAGCAGAUGCGAAAGCAGGACAUAGUGAUCCGGUGGUUCUGUAUGGAAGGGCCAUCGCUCAACGGAUAAAAGGUACUCUGGGGAUAACAGGCUGAUACCGCCCAAGAGUUCAUAUCGACGGCGGUGUUUGGCACCUCGAUGUCGGCUCAUCUCAUCCUGGGGCUGUAGCCGGUCCCAAGGGUAUGGCUGUUCGCCAUUUAAAGAGGUACGUGAGGUGGGUUUAAAACGUCUUGAGACGGUUUGGUCCCUAUCUUCCGUGGGCGCUGCAGAUUUGAGGAAGCCUGCUCCUAGUACGAGAGGACCGGAGUGGACGAACCUCUGGUGUAUCGGUUGUCACGCCAGUGGCAUUGCCGAGUAGCUAAGUUCGGAAGAGAUAACCGCUGAAAGCAUCUAAGCGGGAAACUCGUUUCAAGAUUAGAUCUGCCGGGGCCUUGAGCCCCCUAAAGAGUCGUUCAAGACCAGGACGUUGAUAGGUCAGGUGUGGAAGC
rnacentral:rRNA from 1 species